GCCCUUCAAUCACCAAAGCAGGGCUGGAACACAGCAGGCAAGAACAACAGUGACAAGAGAUGGGUCUGAGAAAAUCAGCAAGGCCUGGGCCAUGGAUGAUCCUGAGUCCAAGCUGAGGCGUUUGUUAUUUUUAUCUUUAGGGCACUGAGAAGCUACGGGAAUUUUUUAUCCAGAGAAUAACAUGAUCAGGGUGCCUCUUGUGGCACAGGAGGAGGGAUGAGGGAAGGAGAGAUGCUACGUAGGAAGACUGUCAAGGAGCUGUUGUAAUGGCUCAGGUCAGCAGGAGGCUGUGCAGAUGAAAGCAAUGGAAGUGAUGGGAAACAUAGAGGAGAUGGCAUGGCCUCUGUCCCCUUCCCCACCAGUGCCUUGGAUAAGUGUGAUGUCCCAGAAGAGCAAGAACAUAGGAGAGAAGCCAAAGAAGAUGCUCAGGCUGUGUGGAAAUUAGGGUCCAAGCAGUCUUGCUUUGUUAU
rnacentral:lncRNA from 1 species